rnacentral:rRNA from 1 species
UACGUAGGGUGCGAGCGUUAAUCGGAAUUACUGGGCGUAAAGCGUGCGUAGACGGUUAUUUAAGUCGGGUGUGAAAGCCCCGGGCUCAACCUGGGAAUUGCAUUCGAGACUGAAUAGCUAGGGUACGGUAGAGGGAAGCGGAAUUUCCGGUGUAGCGGUGAAAUGCGUAGAUAUCGGAAAGAACAUCAGUGGCGAAAGCGGCUUCCUGGACCAGUACCGACGUCAGGCACGAAAGCGUGGGGAGCAAACAGGA